GACGUAGGGCGCGAGCGUUGUCCGGAUUUAUUGGGCGUAAAGAGCUCGUAGGCGGCUUGUCGCGUCUGCCGUGAAAGUCCGGGGCUCAACUCCGGAUCUGCGGUGGGUACGGGCAGACUAGAGUGAUGUAGGGGGAGACUGGAAUUCCUGGUGUAGCGGUGAAAUGCGCAGAUAUCGGGAGGAACACCGGUGGCGAAGGCGGUUCUCUGGGCCUGUACUGACGCUGAGGAGCGAAAGCGUGGGGAGCGAACAGG
rnacentral:rRNA from 1 species